AUUAGUGUCUUAUGCAGCUUAAAAAAGAGCAGGGAGACUGAAACUGCAGUAAAAGAGAAUAUUCCUCCCCAUUGAUUCAUGACAGGUUAAGCCUGCCACUGUGCUUAACGGAGUCAACUCUUUUAAGAAUCAGUUCGCUGUUCUGAAUCAGUUUCUCUCUAAUGGCGCGCGGAUACUCUCCCUCUCAGCGGCAGUGCAGGUUAACCAGCGCCACAGCUCGAGCCACUGACCUUCUUUCUUCACUCUGAGACAAUGAGUCACUACAUAUCCUGGAAACUUGCUGAAGUAUACCAGUGGCUAGAGAGAAACAAUUUGGGAGAAUUCUAAUGUUUUUAUGGAGCAUGAGAUUGACGGAGCAACUUUAGGCGUUUUCACAGAGCGAAUGGCAGAGAGACUAAUACCUAUAAUUAAGAAGCAGGCCGUUUUUAUGUCUCUUCUGGAAAAAAUUAAAACAAGUGAAGCACACAGACCUUUGAUGGUAGACGUACAAAGACGUGACUCAAGAGCACAGGAUUCGUCUCAUAUUGCCUUUCCCCCAAUGUUGUUGGCUGCACUGGAGAGAAGAGACCCUGAACUCAAAAGCUCAAGGAAGUCAAAAACAAGGAUCCUACUACUACAGGCCCUCUUUGACCAUCUGUCUAGUAAAACUUUGUACCCAACACAUCACCAGUAUGUUGAGUUGUUGUCUUCACUACCUGAAAGAGAACUCUGGAUCAGGUUAUGUAUUUAACAUUAGGUUAAGUAUUUAACAUUAAAUUAUUUCUUUGCAGAUGGUUGGUGUAAAUGGCUUUACGUUGGUGCCUAAUUUUUCUGAUUGUUAAGUGGCUUUGCAUGAGUCCUUAAAGAACAAAUUUUAAAAGGAAAGACGUCCCUUGGUCAGUGAUGAAGAAGUGGCCAGAAUGAGAAGAAAGUUUGCCAUUACAGGUUCUGGCAAAAAACGUACAUCUGAGGUUGUCCAAAUACCACUUAAUGCAGUGAGAACCCCUAAGAAGUGUGUGUGGAGGAAAGAAAAAAUUCUGAAAUUGUGAAGACUAUGGCUGAAGAGGUAAAGAAAAUUUGCCCCGAUAUGAUGUUCCUGCAAGAGCAAAUGACAAAGACAAGAGAGUACCGAAGGACAUAUAUCCUCUCUCAUCCUACAAGAGAGAUUUUGAUGGAAUUCCCUUGCCUCAGACUUCCUGAAAUCCUGCUUUUGGAAAUGAAAGCUCUUCAACACAUCGAUGCAGACAAGCAAGUCACUUUAGUGCUAAACAAAAUGGCCCCACAUGAUUUUACUGCGAGCAUCACACUCCACCAUAAUAAAGAGAUGUCUGGAGACCAUUGAAGAUCCUCAGGAAGGUGCAGUAAAAAAAAAGGUCUGCAGUUGGAGACAGCCAUCCUGUGCCUUCUGUCUCUGUUCAGUGAGGAUGCCUCACUUCUCUUUACAUUUGAAGAAUCAGGCACAUUCCAGGUGGUCACACCACAGAUUAUCCUGAGUGGGUGUAAGGAGGGAGUGUCCUUGCAGCACAGUUUCGUGAAAGUCACCAUGGACAAGGAAAUCAUAGUGGAAGACUGCACAGACAUCUUCCUUGCCCUCUGUGUACUGUUCAGCACCUACUUUGUCUUCGGAGUGGAAUAUCCUAAGGGACUUAAAAAAACUCUUACAUUCCUUGAAGCAUUUGUGUUUAAAAUGAAAGAAGAGAAAUUUCUUCCAAUUACACUGAAACGAGUAUUCAAUUCUUCAAAAUCUACAAUUAUUCAGUAGAUUUUGUAAAUAAGAGCUGUGUAGAAUGAAGGACUUCUCAGAGCAGUUUAAUUGCUGUUUAAUUAAAUGUAUUUAAUAUUUGUCAUUUUGCUACAUUUAGUGUAACAUCCAGCAUAUUUCAGGUUUGUUGUAUUUCCAUAUGUGUUUAUUUUAGAACUAUAAAUGCUGCACUUAUCCCCACCCCCACACAGAUGCUAUAUACAUUGAAUGGGCAAAUGCCAUGGUUUAGUUUAGUUUAGUUUAGCUUUGUAUUUUUGGUGAUUUUAGUCAUGCACAUACUGUAAGUACUUGAAUUUAAAAAGGAUGAGCAUUUUUAUUGUUACAUUUACACAAGUAUCCACUUCUCUCUUUCAAUAUCCUUACCUUUUUAUUUCCUUGUACUUUUAUACUUUUAUACAGUCUGUAGUCCGCAUUAUUUAUUGUCCUCCUAAUUAUUCUUAGCACAGCACUGCUGCUGGAGUUUUGGACAUCACAAAACAUUUCAACUUCACACAACAUUAAAAAGCCUCACUUUCUGCAUGGACAAAUGCAAUUUUGAUAUAUUGACUAAAGAUUAAUAGUUUAUAUGAAUUAACUCAAUAAAUGCAAUAAUUUGCUAUGAUUA